AUGGUGUCUUCGGGUGCCUUCUUGUUUCCAGGCCUCUAUCGAUUUCUCUGCCUCUUCUUGGGUUUCUUCUGCAGCCUACCAUUACUAGGCAUCUGCGAUGAAUCAGAGAGCGACAGGCAAGCCCUCCUCUGCUUCAAGUCCGGGAUCUCGGCACCCGCCGGAGUCCUAUCUUCAUGGAGCAACGCGUCCAUGGAAUUCUGUGACUGGCACGGGAUCACUUGCAGCGUGACACCACCCAGGCGUGUCGUUGCACUGGACCUUGAAUCCCAAGGCAUCUCGGGCUCCAUAGCGCCUUGCAUCACCAACCUCACUUGGCUGGCAAGGCUCCAGCUGUCAAACAACAGCUUCAGUGAUGGCCUGCCGUCGGAGCUUGGCCUCCUGAGCCGGCUCACCAACCUCAACCUCAGCAUCAACGCUUUGGAAGGUAACAUCCCGCCUGAACUCUCUGCGUGUUCCCAGCUCCAAAUCGUGGGCUUGUGGAACAAUUCCCUCCAUGGAGAGAUCCCACCCACGCUCGGCCAAUGCAAGUGCCUUCAAGAGAUUAACCUUAGCAAUAACAAGCUCCAGGGAAGUGUCCCUCCUGCUUUUGGAGACCUUCCUGAGCUGCGCAUACUAGUCCUCGCCAGCAACACACUUACCGGCAACAUACCGCCGUCUUUGGGCAGCAGCCGCCAUCUCACAUAUGUUGAUCUUGGGAUCAAUGCUCUCGGAGGGGUCAUACCGGAGUCCUUGGCAAAUAGUUCAUCUCUUCAAGUACUUAGGCUCAUGAAGAAUAAUCUUACUGGAGAACUCCCAAAGGCUCUCCUCAACACUUUGUCACUUGUUACCAUUUGCCUCGAAAAGAACAGUUUUGUUGGUUCGAUACCUUCUGUCACUGUCACAUCUUCCCCUAUUAAGCACCUCUCUUUAAGGUUUAACAAUCUUUCAGGAGGAAUACCUUCCUCGCUAGGGAACCUUUCGUCCCUAGUUCAUCUUCUUCUUACAGACAAUCAUUUAGUUGGGAGCAUCCCAGAGAGCUUAGGUUAUGUUCCAACACUAGGGGUAUUGACCUUGACUAUGAACAACUUAUCUGGGCCGGUUCCACCGUCUAUCUUCAACAUGUCAUCCCUGAAAAGUCUCGCCAUAGCAAAAAACUCACUUGUCGGCAGAUUACCCUUUGAUGUCGGCUACACCCUCCCAAAAAUCCAGGACUUAAUACUCACAGAAAACAGUUUCGAUGGACCAAUCCCAGCCUCUCUUCUCAAAGCUUACCACCUACGCUGGCUUUACCUGAUUAAUAAUAGCUUCACUGGAUCCAUACCAUUUUUCGGCUCAUUGCCAAAUUUGGAGGAACUCGAUUUGGCACACAACAAGUUAGAAGCAGGUGAUUGGGGCUUUGUCUCUUCACUAUCUAAUUGCUCCAGGUUGACCAUGCUGGCCCUGGAUGGGAACAAUCUCAAAGGGAAACUGCCAAGUUCUAUUGGCAAUCUUUCAAAUAGUCUGGAGUGGUUGUUUCUAAGUAGCAACAAAAUUUCUGGACCUAUUCCACCGGAGAUUGGCAACCUUACGAGCCUCAAUAGCUUGUACAUGAAUUACAAUCUUCUUGCCGGUAAUAUACCACCAACAAUUGGGAAAUUGCACAACUUGGUAUAUCUAUCCUUUGCACAAAACAGGCUUUCAGGUCAGAUUCCAGAUACCAUUGGCAAUCUUGUCCAGCUGAGUGUACUUGAAUUGGAUCAUAACAGUGUCGAUGGAAGAAUACCAGCAAGCAUAGCACGAUGCACUCGACUCACCGAACUAAUCCUUGCUUACAACUCACUAGAUGGGCGUCUACCAAGUUAA
rnacentral:rRNA from 1 species